AGUGAACGCUGGCGGUAGGCCUAACACAUGCAAGUCGAACGGCAGCACAGUAAGAGCUUGCUCUUACGGGUGGCGAGUGGCGGACGGGUGAGGAAUACAUCGGCAUCUACUUUUUCGUGGGGGACAACGUAGGGAAACUUACGCUAAUACCGCAUACGACCUACGGGUGAAAGCAGGGGAUCUUCGGACCUUGCGCGAUUGAAUGAGCUGAAGUCGGAUUAGCUAGUUGGCGGGGUAAAGGCCCACCAAGGCGACGAACCGUAGCUGGUCUGAGAGGGUGAUCAGCCACACUGGAACUGAGACACGGUCCAGACUCCUACGGGAGGCAGCAGUGGGGAAUAUUGGGCAAUGGGCGCAAGCCUGAUCCAGCCAUACCGCGUGAGUGAAGAAGGCCUUCGGGUUGUAAAGCCCUUUUGUUGGGAAAGAAAAUCAGCAGGUUAAUACCCCGCUGUUCUGACGGUACCCAAAGAAUAAGCACCGGCUAACUUCGUG
rnacentral:rRNA from 1 species